rnacentral:misc_RNA from 1 species
CACUUUUUUUUUUUUUUUGCGCGCUUUGCAGUCUAAGCGCAAAAAACCCUCGCUUCACUAAAUGCGCUUCGCUUUGCAUGUGUAAAAGCACUUUCCUAUCAGUCGCUACACUUUGCGCUUCUGUGCUUUUGACUACACUGAUGCAGCUUGAUUUUGGCAUAGAAUAAAAACAUAAUUGUAACACCACACAUGCAUAUGCAUGCCUAACCAAUAAUCCCAUGAUACAGUUACACAUAUCUUAUUUUUGGAUUUCCCACAUUGCUGCAUCUGCUAUCUGUCAGAUUUACAUCUGGCAUUCCUAGCAACUCUUCAUACCAUGAAUAUGAUUGAAUCAGUCACAGGAUUUAAACUGAGCGAACAUAAUCUCCUAGACACCAACUGAUAAUUCCUUUUAUCAUGAUUAACUUGCUAACUACUGCCAUUAUUUUAUCCCUCUCCCUCCCUCUUGACUAUAUCCAAAGCCAACCUUUAACCCUAAAAAGAAUUAUGUUCCAACUCGGUCUGAAGUGAGCCACAAAGAACAUCACACAAUGUUCAUCAUGCGACCCUCAACUUGAUCUAACUUUUUUUAACUACAUUUUACUAUUUUUAUUUGGUAAGUUUUGAAUUCUUUCCUUUACUACAAAUAGGAUGUUAGAGUCUUUAAUGAUGUGAAAUAAAUCAAAUAUCAAGGAAAGCCUGGAAUGAUAGGAAAUAAAUCCAAGCAACCUAAGCUAAUGAAACUAGCAUCUAUACCAUCAUCGUUAUGAAGCUACAUGUCAAAAUGCUCAAUAAAGCAAAGAACAUGGGCAAUCAAUAAACGCCAAUCGGCCCAAUCCUAGAAAAGUAGGAUUGAGCUUACCAAGAACAGAAAAUGUAUGCCCCAAAAUAGAAAUCAUCAAAAAUACCAAAAUCAUAAAAUAAACAUUAAAUGAUAGACAAAGCAGAAUAGAUAAGCAAAACUAACCGCAUGAUCGAGAAUCUUAACUA